rnacentral:rRNA from 1 species
GCGAUGGGUACCGGGCGUGAGAGCGUGGCCCGGCUCACUGGGACUGAGACACUGCCCAAACACCUACGGGUGGCUGCAGUCGAGAAUCUUCGGCAAUGGGCGCAAGCCUGACCGAGCGACGCCGCGUGCGGGAUGAAGGCCUUCGGGUUGUAAACCGCUGUCAGAGGGGAGGAAAUCACGUGGGGCUCUCUCCACGUGUUGACCUAUCCUCAGAGGAAGGACGGGCUAAGUUCGUGCCAGCAGCCGUGGUAAGACGAACCGUCCAAACGUUAUUCGGAAUCACUGGGCUUAAAGGGUGCGUAGGCGGCUGUGCAAGUCGGGUGUGAAAUCCCUCGGCUCAACCGAGGAACUGCGCCCGAAACUGUGCGGCUCGAGGAAGACAGAGGUGAGCGGAACUGGCGGUGGAGCGGUGAAAUGCGUUGAUAUCGCCAGGAACACCAGUGGCGAAGGCGGCUCACUGGGUCUUUUCUGACGCUGAGGCACGAAAGCUAGGGGAGCGAACGGGAUUAGAUACCCCGGUAGUCCUAGCUGUAAACGUUGAGCACUGGGUCGGAGGGUCCUCCAUAGCCUUCCGGUCGUAGCGAAAGUGUUAAGUGCUCCGCCUGGGGAGUAUGGUCGCAAGGCUGAAACUCAAAGGAAUUGGCGGGGGCUCACACAAGCGGUGAGGAUGUGGCUUAAUUCGAGACUACGCGAAGAACCUUAUCCUGGGUUUGACAUGCAUGGAUUAACCCCGUGAAAGCGGGGCCACGCCCUCUGGGUGGAACGUGCACAGGUGCUGCAUGGCUGUCGUCAGCUCGUGUCGUGAGAUGUCGGGUUAAGUCCCUUAACGAGCGAAACCCUUGUCGUUAGUUGCCAGCGAGUAAUGUCGGGGACUCUAACGAGACUGCCGGUGUUAAACCGGAGGAAGGUGGGGAUGACGUCAAGUCCUCAUGGCCUUUAUGCCCAGGGCUGCACACGUCCUACAAUGGCGCGAACAAAGGGAAGCAAACCUGCGAGGGUGAGCAAAUCCCAAAAAAACGCGCCUCAGUUCGGAUUGCAGGCUGAAACCCGCCUGCAUGAAGCCGGAAUCGCUAGUAAUCGCGGGUCAGCAUACCGCGGUGAAUGUGUUCCUGAGCCUUGUACACACCGCCCGUCAAGCCACGAAAGUGGGGGGCCGACGAAGUCGCCGAGCUAACCUUCGGGAAGCAAGCGCCGAAUCGGAACUCCGCGAUUGGGACUAAGUCGAAGCAAGGUA